GUGGGGAAUAUUGCACAAUGGGCGAAAGCCUGAUGCAGCAACGCCGCGUGAGCGAUGAAGGCCUUUGGGUCGUAAAGCUCUGUCCUUGGGGAAGAAAACAAUGACGGUACCCUUGGAGGAAGCCCCGGCUAACUACGUGCCAGCAGCCGCGGUAAUACGUAGGGGGCAAGCGUUAUCCGGAAUUAUUGGGCGUAAAGAGUGCGUAGGUGGUCUUGUAAGCGCGGGGUGAAAGGCUAUGGCUUAACCAUGGUAAGCCUUGCGAACUGUAAGACUUGAGUGCAGGAGAGGAAAGCGGAAUUCCUAGUGUAGCGGUGAAAUGCGUAGAUAUUAGGAGGAACACCAGUGGCGAAGGCGGCUUUCUGGACUGUAACUGACACUGAGGCACGAAAGCGUGGGGAGCAAACAGGAUUAGAUACCCCAGUAGUCC
rnacentral:rRNA from 1 species